rnacentral:rRNA from 1 species
AGAGUUUGAUCAUGGCUCAGAACGAACGCUGGCGGCGCGCCUAAUACAUGCAAGUCGAGCGAGAAGGUGUAGCAAUACACUUGUAAAGCGGCGAACGGGUGAGGAAUACAUGGGUAAUCUACCAUCGAGUGGGGAAUAACCAACCGAAAGGUUGGCUAAUACCGCGUACGCCUCCGAGUCUUCGGGUUCGGAGGGAAAGCUGCACUGUGAGUGUAGCGCUCUUUGAUGAGCUCAUGUCCUAUCAGCUUGUUGGUAGGGUAACGGCCUACCAAGGCUUUGACGGGUAGCUGGUCUGAGAGGACGAUCAGCCACACUGGCACUGCGACACGGGCCAGACUCCUACGGGAGGCAGCAGUAAGGAAUAUUGCGCAAUGGGCGAAAGCCUGACGCAGCGACGCCGCGUGGGGGAUGAAGGUCUUCGGAUUGUAAACCCCUUUCGGGAGGGAAGAUGGAGCGAGCAAUCGUUCGGACGGUACCUCCAGAAGCAGCCACGGCCAACUUCGUGCCAGCAGCCGCGGUAAUACGAAGGUGGCAAGCGUUGUUCGGAUUCACUGGGCGUACAGGGUGUGUAGGCGGUUUGGUAAGCCUUCUGUUAAAGCUUCGGGCCCAACCCGGAAAGCGCAGAGGGUACUGCCAGGCUAGAGGGUGGGAGAGGAGCGCGGAAUUCCCGGUGUAGCGGUGAAAUGCGUAGAGAUCGGGAGGAAGGCCGGUGGCGAAGGCGGCGCUCUGGAACAUACCUGACGCUGAGACACGAAAGCGUGGGGAGCAAACAGGAUUAGAUACCCUGAUAGUCCACGCCC